GCUGGGUACAGUGGCUCAUGCCUGUAAUCCCAGCACUUUGGGAGACUGAGGUGGGUGGAUCACAAGGUCAGGAAUUCAAGACCAGCCUGGCCAAGAUGGUGAAACCCUGUCUCUACUAAAAAUACUAAAAUAGCUGGGUGUGGUGGUGGACACCUGUAAUCCCAGCUACUUGGGGGAGGCUGAGGCAGAGAAUUGCUUGAACUCAGGAGGCAGAGAUUUUGCCAUGUUGGCCAGGCUGGUCUUGAACUCCUGACCUUAGGUGAUCCACCCACCUCAG
rnacentral:sRNA from 1 species